rnacentral:rRNA from 1 species
UACGUAGGGUGCGAGCGUUAAUCGGAAUUACUGGGCGUAAAGCGUGCGCAGGCGGUUGUGCAAGACAGAGGUGAAAUCCCCGGGCUUAACCUGGGAACUGCCUUUGUGACUGCACGGCUAGAGUGUGUCAGAGGGGGGUAGAAUUCCACGUGUAGCAGUGAAAUGCGUAGAUAUGUGGAGGAAUACCGAUGGCGAAGGCAGCCCCCUGGGAUAACACUGACGCUCAUGCACGAAAGCGUGGGGAGCAAACAGGAUUAGAUACCCCCGUAGUCC